rnacentral:rRNA from 1 species
GAUGAACGCUGGCGGCGUGCCUAAUACAUGCCAGUCGAGCGAACAGACGAGGAGCUUGCUCCUCUGACGUUAGCGGCGGACGGGUGAGUAACACGUGGAUAACCUACCUAUAAGACUGGGAUAACUUCGGGAAACCGGAGCUAAUACCGGAUAAUAUAUUGAACCGCAUGGUUCAAUAGUGAAAGACGGUUUUGCUGUCACUUAUAGAUGGAUCCGCGCCGCAUUAGCUAGUUGGUAAGGUAACGGCUUACCAAGGCAACGAUGCGUAGCCGACCUGAGAGGGUGUUCGGCCACACUGGGACUGAGACACGGUCCAGACUCCUACGGGAGGCAGCAGUAGGGAAUCUUCCGCAAUGGGCGAAAGCCUGACGGAGCAACGCCGCGUGAGUGAUGAAGGUCUUCGGAUCGUAAAACUCUGUUAUUAGGGAAGAACAAAUGUGUAAGUAACUAUGCACGUCUUGACGGUACCUAAUCAGAAAGCCACGGCUAACUACGUG